UACCUGCAGCCCGAGUGGUGGCCGUUAUUAUUGGGCCUAAAACGUCCGUAGCCGGCUGCGUAGAUGCCUGUGUAAAUCGAACGGCUUAACCGUUCGAACUGCGGGUAGACCGCUCAGCUUGGGACCGGGAGAGUCACGAAGUACUCCGGGGGUAGAGGUGAAAUUCUGUAAUCCUCGGGGGACUACCGGUGGCGAAGGCGUCGUGAUAGAACGGCUCCGACGGUGAGGGACGAAGCCCUGGGGCGCAAACCGG
rnacentral:rRNA from 1 species